UACGAAGGGGGCUAGCGUUGCUCGGAAUCACUGGGCGUAAAGCGCACGUAGGCGGAUUGUUAAGUCAGGGGGUGAAAUCCUGGAGCUCAACUCCAGAACUGCCUUUGAUACUGGCGAUCUUGAGUCCGGGAGAGGUGAGUGGAACUGCGAGUGUAGAGGUGAAAUUCGUAGAUAUUCGGAAGAACACCAGUGGCGAAGGCGGCUCACUGGACCGGCAUUGACGCUGAGGUGCGAAAGCGUGGGGGAGCAAAC
rnacentral:rRNA from 1 species